CAGGAUGAACGCUAGCGGCAGGCUUAACACAUGCAAGUCGAGGGGCAUCGGGUGUAGCAAUACAAUGCCGGCGACCGGCGGAAGGGUGAGUAACGCGUGAGCAACAUGCCACCUUCAGGGGGAUAGUCAUUGGAAACGAUGCGUAAUACCCGUAUGAUUGGAUGAGGCAUCUCAUUUAAUUGAAAGAUUUAUUGGGAGGUGAUUGGCUCGCGUGCCAUUAGGUAGACGGCGGGGUAACGGCCCACCGUGCCGACGAUGGCUAGGGGUUCUGAGAGGAAGAUCCCCCCACAUUGGGACUGAGACACGGCCCAGACUCCUACGGGAGGCAGCAGUGAGGAAUAUUGGACAAUGGCCGGAAGGCUGAUCCAGCCAUGCCGCGUGCGGGAGGACGGCCCCUAUGGGUUGUAAACCGCUUUUGUGUGGGGGCAAUAAGGUGCACGUGUGCACUGAUGAGAGUACCAUACGAAUAAGCAUCGGCUAACUCCGUGCCAGCAGCAGC
rnacentral:rRNA from 1 species